rnacentral:lncRNA from 1 species
CUCUCUCCUAUUGUCAAUAUCACCGGGCGGCUGAGUCCAUGGCACACGCGCAACCGAACCUUCUGGCCAGCAGCGCCCGCCCCCGGCGCCCACUCACUGGCGGCUUCAAACGGGAAGCGAGGCCUCAUUGGCCGGUGCCCGCCUUCACUCCCAUGCCAGCAUGUUCGGCUGAGAGCCGAUCAGGGAUUGGCGGCGGGGGGGCGGAGAAACAGGAGGGUGGGAAGAGAGGAGGCCGAGGAUUGGGCUGAGGCGAGAGGGACCCGGAUGCAGCCGCGCUCUCUGGCCGCGAUACUGCCGCUUCCGCCGGGCGCCUAGGUGGGCUAGAGAGGAGAGCCGCCGGAGCCGGCAGGCCUGAGAGGAGCUCUUGAAAUCCGAAAUGUGUGCCACUGGCAGAUCGUUGGGCUGGGUUCCCGCGCAGUGCGGAUUCUCUGGGCGUCGGUCGUCUUCAGCUAGAGGAUUGCAAGGGCAAGGGUCGGCUAGGGGUGGGGGCGCCCCCUGGGCCCUGAUGCCGCUCCGUUCGGCUGCUAGGGCGGCCCUUCUGGACCGGAGGAGUCGAGCUCAGGUCCGGAACCAGCGCCCCCGCCCGCACCCGGGCGCCACUGCGUGUGCAGACGGGCUCUGCAGCCCGCUGUGCAAGCCCAGCAGCCGCUCUCCGCUCAACCUCGUGGAGGCCUGGCACCGAAAUCUGAACCCUUGGGGCCCGGCCAAGGGCUGGGUGUCGCUUCGAAUUCUCUGUCACCUCGUCUCCGUUUCCCUCAACCUCUGUUUUGAGUAUCAGCUCCCUGAAGCUCCUGCAAGCCUUGGCUGAGGCCAGCUCAGUGUGGCUAAUGCGGGUGGGAACGCUGUCUGCGCUGCUCAAUCAGCUAUUGAGAUCAACCGCAUCCGCUCUCCUCUCCACGGAGCUCAGGGAGGCCCAACUCCGAACUGCGAGCUUGGCAGCUUUUAAUUUGCAAGUUGGAUACGAAAGAGUUUAUGGAAAAGACCUCACUUAACUGUAGCUAGAAUUGAUCAAAUAUUUAGAGGUGUGUUUGCGUCCUUGGUGAGCACUAGUCCAAAUGGUGCAUUUCCAGAGAAUAUUCCUGGACUGUUGCUCUGUUUGAAAGCACGCUACUUGGCCUAGAACAGUGGUGGUCCUUUUGAAGGGGGAAAAAAAGGAGGAAAGAAAUUCUUAAUGCUAACUACAAAAGUCAAGAAUACCAAUUGUUCAAAACUUGGAAAAUGAAACAAAAAAGACAAAAAAUUAACAUUCAUAAUCCCUUAACUCAAAGAGAGUCACUGUUAGUAUUUUGGUGCACUUCCCUCUAACGUUUUGUUUUUUAAUAUUAUGUAUGUCAUUCUGUGGCCUAGUUUUUGCCAUCAGCAUUAUAUCAUGUUUUCUAUACAGUUAGGAAAUAGAACUAU